rnacentral:rRNA from 1 species
AUUGAACGCUGGCGGCAGGCCUAACACAUGCAAGUCGAGCGGAUGAAGGGAGCUUGCUCCUGGAUUCAGCGGCGGACGGGUGAGUAAUGCCUAGGAAUCUGCCUGGUAGUGGGGGAUAACGUCCGGAAACGGGCGCUAAUACCGCAUACGUCCUGAGGGAGAAAGUGGGGGAUCUUCGGACCUCACGCUAUCAGAUGAGCCUAGGUCGGAUUAGCUAGUUGGUGUGGUAAAGGCCUACCAAGGCGACGAUCCGUAACUGGUCUGAGAGGAUGAUCAGUCACACUGGAACUGAGACACGGUCCAGACUCCUACGGGAGGCAGCAGUAGGGAAUCUUGCACAAUGGGCGAAAGCCUGACGGAGCAACGCCGCGUGUGUGAUGAAGGUCUUCGGAUCGUAAAGCUCUGUUAGUAGGGAAGAACAAAUGUGAAAGAAAAUCUGGCCGUUUUGACGGUACCAACAGAGAAAGCCCCGGCUAACUACGUG